UAAAGUGUCCUAGCUAAAAAAAAGUAAGGUUACAAAUUAUAGUAACCAUGUGGUGUAUAUAAUAGUUUGUGCUUUUUUUUCUAGUUUGCCCUAAAUUACGAUUAGUAUCGAAUGUUAGUAGUUCAAAUUAGUGGUAUAAAAGUGUUAGUACGUUGUGAACAAGCAGUUAAACACGAAAACGAACAUCUAUAACAAUUACCAACUUAUAACAAAGAAAAGGUCCGAAAUCGGGCCUUUUCUUUUUGCGUUUCCUCGCGUGGUUUAUCCCGGAGGAACUUCUUUCAUCCGCAGUGAAGCCAAAGGACCAGUUUGGAGUGUAGGAAAGUUGGUUGGUGUGCCGAUAACCAGCUUAGUUCCGCCCGCCAUCUUGGAGCGUCCGUUCCAACAAUAGCAUCGACGCCAUUUUGAAAUUUCGGCCAUUGCAACAUCUUUACGGCUUCCUUCCCGCUUUCAACGUUCGGUCAGUCGGAUUAAGACCAAUCCCGACAAGGAACCCGAACGAAAGAAGCCCAGCUGGUGGGCCACAGUCCGUCCAGCAACCCUACAUUGCCACAAUCCGUCCAACAACCCUACAUUUCCACACCGGCAAGAAACAGAUUCGAAAGAAGCCCAGCUGGUGGGCCCUAGUCCAUUCAGCAAUCACGGAAUCCAGUCGAUGAAGGCCAUGCUGGUGGGCCAUAGUCCGUUCAGCAGCCAUCUCUGGGAAAUAGCUUAACGCCCUCGGUCGAGGACCGAAUACCGACCCUCUUUCGCCCGUUUUCUCGCCAACAACCCGCCCAAUUCGCCGACAUCCAGCCAAGCUAGCCACUGUUCAUCACCAUCAAGCCUCGCCAACAACCCAC